UGGGGAAUAUUGCACAAUGGGCGCAAGCCUGAUGCAGCCAUGCCGCGUGUAUGAAGAAGGCCUUCGGGUUGUAAAGUACUUUCAGUCGUGAGGAAGGUGUUAAGGUUAAUAGCCUUAGCAAUUGACGUUAGCGACAGAAGAAGCACCGGCUAACUCCGUGCCAGCAGCCGCGGUAAUACGGAGGGUGCGAGCGUUAAUCGAAAUUACUGGGCGUAAAGGGCACGCAGGCGGUUAAUUAAGUUGGAUGUGAAAUCCCCGGGCUUAACCUGGGAAUGGCAUUCAAGACUGGUUAGCUAGAGUCUUGUAGAGGGGGGUAGAAUUCCAUGUGUAGCGGUGAAAUGCGUAGAGAUGUGGAGGAAUACCGGUGGCGAAGGCGGCUCCCUGGACAAAGACUGACGCUCAUGUGCGAAAGCGUGGGGAGCAAACA
rnacentral:rRNA from 1 species